UACGGGGGGGGGCAAGCGUUGUUCGGAAUUACUGGGCGUAAAGCGUGCGCAGGCGGUUUUGUAAGUCAGAUGUGAAAUCCCCGGGCUUAACCUGGGAACUGCGCUUGUUACUGGCAGGCUAGAGUGUGGCAGAGGGGGGUAGAAUUCCAGGUGUAGCAGUGAAAUGCGUAAGAUAUCGUGAGGAAUACCGAUGGCGAAGGCAGCCCCCCUGGGUUAACACUGACGCUCAUGCACGAAAGCGUGGGGAGCAAACAGG
rnacentral:rRNA from 1 species